rnacentral:misc_RNA from 1 species
GAUGAAGACGUAUUGAAAUGCGAUACGUAAUGUGAAUUGCAGAAUUCAGUGAAUCAUCGAGUCUUUGAACGCACAUUGCGCCCCCUGGUAUUCCGGGGGGCAUGCCUGUCCGAGCGUCAUUGCUGCCCUCAAGCACGGCUUGUGUGUUGGGCCUCCGUCCUCCUCCCGGGGGACGGGCCCGAAAGGCAGCGGCGGCACCGCGUCCGGUCCUCGAGCGUAUGGGGCUUCGUCACCCGCUCUUGUAGGCCCGGCCGGCGCUUGCCGACACAUCAAUCUUUUUUCCAGGUUGACCUCGGAUCAGGUAGGGAUACCCGCUGAACUUAAGCAUAUCAAUAAGCAGAGGA